UGGGGUGUCGCCAAGUGGUAAGGCAACGGGUUUUGAUCCCGUCAUGCGUAGGUUCGAAUCCUACCACCCCAGCCA
rnacentral:tRNA from 4 species